rnacentral:rRNA from 1 species
AUUGAACGCUGGCGGCAGGCCUAACACAUGCAAGUCGAGCGAGCGGCGGACGGGUGAGUAAUGUCUGGGCAACUGCCUGAUGGAGGGGGAUAACUGCUGGAAACGGUAGCUAAUACCGCAUACCAUAAAAUGUGCCAAGAUGGGAUUAGAUAGUAGGUGGGGUAACGGCUCACCUAGGAGACGAUCCCUAGCUGGUCUGAGAGGAUGACCAGCCAAACUGGAACUGAGACACGGUCCAGCCUCCGACGGGAGGAAGCAGCGGGGAAGAUUGCACAAUGGGCGCAAUCCGGAUGCAGCCAUGCCGCGUGUGUGAAGAGGGCCUUCGGGUGUUAAAGCACUUUCAGCGGGUAGGCGUUACCCGCAGAAGAAGCACCGGCUAACUCCGUGCCAGCAGACGCGGUAAUUC